UGGGGAAUCUUGGACAAUGGGGGAAACCCUGAUCCAGCGACGCCGCGUGGAUGAAGAAGGCCUUAGGGUUGUAAAGUCCUUUCACCGGGGAGGAUGAUGACGUUACCCGGCGAAGAAGCACCGGCUAACUCCGUGCCAGCAGCCGCGGUAAGACGGCGGGUGCUAGCGUUGUUCGGAAUCACUGGGCGUAAAGGGCGCGUAGGCGGCUUGGUUAGUCAGAUGUGAAAGCCGAGGGCUCAACUCUGGAACUGCAUUUGAUACUCCCAAGCUUGAGGUCGAAAGAGGAAAGUGGAAUACCCAGUGUAGAGGUGAAAUUCGUAGAGAUUGGGUGGAACACCAGUGGCGAAGGCGGCUCUCUGGUACGGUUCUGACGCUGAGGCGCGAAAGCGUGGGGAGCAAACAGGAUUAGAUACCCCCGUAGUCC
rnacentral:rRNA from 1 species